AUGGCGGAGAAUAUGGAGAAGACGCACAACUGUAAGCUAUUAUCUAUAAGCUAUUAAUUGUAAGCUAUUAUAUUAUUAUAUUGUUUCACGAAUAUCGGUAUUUAUUAUUUUUAACGUUUUUAUUAGGCUAUCAUUGAAUUCUCCAACCUGUCAAAUCCUACUUGUUUUUCUCGGACGAUUUCACUUUUUCGGAGCGGGACAGCUAGCUGUACCUCGACAGGACUUGAUAUGAUGGCCUUUAUUAUGCAUUCGAUUAAUAUAGGCUUACACGUUCUAUUUUAUCAAGGGACAAUUGAAGAAACAAGGGCCCUCAUCGAAAGGCGGCGGCAAAUGAAGCUCUGUUCACUGGCCUCCGCCACUCCUCUGCUACGGGAUGGGAGGACUUCAGUUCCACUUCUGGCCGGGAUAUUUCCACCAAACAGGCCAUGAAGAAGUGGAACAAUCUGAAGCUCAAGUACAAAUCGCUUAGGGACCCACCCACAGGCAGAGGGGUAGAGGCCGGUACAGCUACUGCCGCCACCUGGCAGUGGUAUGGUGCCAUGGAUGCUGCACUCCAGGGACAUCACUCCAUCUGUCCGCCCCUGGUUGUUGCAUCCAACAUGACUGCCGCUACAGGUGGGGUAGUAAGCACACCGGCUUCUACCGCUUCUGCUGAGGAGGCCGGGGGAAGCAGCAGCAGAAAGAGACCCAGGGACAGUCUGCUGGAGCUUUUGAGGGAGCAGGGAGAAAGGGACGAGGAGAGAGAGAGAGAGGCAGUGGCGAGAGAGGCGGAGAGGGAGAGGGCGGCAGCAGUCGGGGCUGAACGGCAAACAUCCAGUCCUGCAGGAGCAGAAACAUGGGCAGCAAUCCUCGCCCGCCGUGACGCAUUGCCUGACAGGUCCCUGUCAUCUGCCUCCACGGUGUCACCUGGUCCCUCCUCCUCCUCCUCCUCCAAGAUAUCCCCUGCUGCCAUGCAAAUGUUGUGCAGGAUGCAGCAGGCACCUACCACCUGGGGGGCCAACAGAGACCGGAUCUCCAGAUACCGCUGGGAGAUGGCCCGCCAGCGGGUUUUGAGGAUCCCGAAAGACCUCUCCACAAUGUUACGCCCUUUAGCGUACUGUAUUGUAUCUGUGCCUAUUGUAUCUGGCUUCAACCUGACCUGGUAAUCAAAAAUCACAUGGAUGUAUCAGUGUCACCAAACUAACAAUUUGUUUCUGUGCAUGUGUGACAGGAGAGAAGGAGCUUACCGGCUACAGUGUGGCGGUAUGGCGUCAUGAUGGCCACAGGACGCUGCAGGCAUGGGUACCCUCCAUCACCCAGCAAGAAGUACCCAGCUGGUGGCAAAGCUUUCAUGUGGCAUCCAUCAAUGGUCCCAGCAGCACAUCUGAAGGCCUCGUGACCUGCAAGGCGAGCAAAGCCAGCCCCCACCGCCUCCAUCUCCUCUGCCUUGGGGAAAUGAAUCACCCUGUGGAGGAUGGCCGUCAUCUCCUCCACCACGCCAUGGACCGUCCUGCAAACUGUGGACAGGGGCAUCCCGAAGGCAUCUGCCGUUGCCCUGUACGAUGCUCCACAGGCCAGCCAGUACACUGCCACCAGCCCCUCCACCUCAUGGCUGCUCCAUUCAUGGACUUUUUGCCGGGGCAGCAAGGCCGGUUGAAGCUCUCCCUGGAGAGCCUGAAGGCUGGCUUCAGGUCCCCUCCAGAGAAAAACACGGCUAGGAUGGGCACAGUGAUGUUCAGCUGUGUGUACAGCUGUGAGCUGCUUUGGUCCUGGUACCAAACAAAGAAAAUAAAUAUAUUUUUACAUGCCAAUGGUUAAGUUCAUAUAUUUUUAGAUUUAUUGCUUAUUUGUGUAUUUUAAUGUACAAUAAAUUGCAAUUAUGUAUUUAAUAUGUAUUGUAUGCUGUAUACCAGAAUUAAAAAACAAUUUAACAUU